UACGUAGGGUGCGAGCGUUAAUCGGAAUUACUGGGCGUAAAGCGUGCGUAGGCGGUUCCUCAAGUCCGUUGUGAAAGCCCCGGGCUCAACCUGGGAAUGGCAGUGGAAACUAGGGGACUGGAAUCUGGCAGAGGGGGGUGGAAUGCCGCGUGUAGCAGUGAAAUGCGUAGAGAUGCGGCGGAACACCGAUGGCGAAGGCAGCCCCCUGGGCUGAGAUUGACACUCAGGCACGAAAGCGUGGGGAGCAAACAGG
rnacentral:rRNA from 1 species